rnacentral:rRNA from 1 species
UUGAUUGGUGCUUGCAUCAUGAUUUACAUUUGAGUGAGUGGCGAACUGGUGAGUAACACGUGGGAAACCUGCCCAGAAGCGGGGGAUAACACCUGGAAACAGAUGCUAAUACCGCAUAACAACUUGGACCGCAUGGUCCGAGUUUGAAAGAUGGCUUCGGCUAUCACUUUUGGAUGGUCCCGCGGCGUAUUAGCUAGAUGGUGGGGUAACGGCUCACCAUGGCAAUGAUACGUAGCCGACCUGAGAGGGUAAUCGGCCACAUUGGGACUGAGACACGGCCCAAACUCCUACGGGAGGCAGCAGUAGGGAAUCUUCCACAAUGGACGAAAGUCUGAUGGAGCAACGCCGCGUGAGUGAAGAAGGGUUUCGGCUCGUAAAACUCUGUUGUUAAAGAAGAACAUAUCUGAGAGUAACUGUUCAGGUAUUGACGGUAUUUAACCAGAAAGCCACGGCUAACUACGUGCCAGCAGCCGCGGUAAUACGUAGGUGGCAAGCGUUGUCCGGAUUUAUUGGGCGUAAAGCGAGCGCAGGCGGUUUUUUAAGUCUGAUGUGAAAGCCUUCGGCUCAACCGAAGAAGUGCAUCGGAAACUGGGAAACUUGAGUGCAGAAGAGGACAGUGGAACUCCAUGUGUAGCGGUGAAAUGCGUAGAUAUAUGGAAGAACACCAGUGGCGAAGGCGGCUGUCUGGUCUGUAACUGACGCUGAGGCUCGAAAGUAUGGGUAGCAAACAGGAUUAGAUACCCUGGUAGUCCAUACCGUAAACGAUGAAUGCUAAGUGUUGGAGGGUUUCCGCCCUUCAGUGCUGCAGCUAACGCAUUAAGCAUUCCGCCUGGGGAGUACGGCCGCAAGGCUGAAACUCAAAGGAAUUGACGGGGGCCCGCACAAGCGGUGGAGCAUGUGGUUUAAUUCGAAGCUACGCGAAGAACCUUACCAGGUCUUGACAUACUAUGCAAAUCUAAGAGAUUAGACGUUCCCUUCGGGGACAUGGAUACAGGUGGUGCAUGGUUGUCGUCAGCUCGUGUCGUGAGAUGUUGGGUUAAGUCCCGCAACGAGCGCAACCCUUAUUAUCAGUUGCCAGCAUUAAGUUGGGCACUCUGGUGAGACUGCCGGUGACAAACCGGAGGAAGGUGGGGAUGACGUCAAAUCAUCAUGCCCCUUAUGACCUGGGCUACACACGUGCUACAAUGGAUGGUACAACGAGUUGCGAACUCGCGAGAGUAAGCUAAUCUCUUAAAGCCAUUCUCAGUUCGGAUUGUAGGCUGCAACUCGCCUACAUGAAGUCGGAAUCGCUAGUAAUCGCGGAUCAGCAUGCCGCGGUGAAUACGUUCCCGGGCCUUGUACAC